GAGUGAAAAUCUGAAAAGGCACUCUUAGCAAAAUGAAAAAUGAAAACUUGUACAAAAGAGAGGAUGAAAACCCAUAAAGGGCGUCCUUUGAAAUCUUAUAGAAUGGAGGGAUAAGGAGUACUGAUGAAUAUGAAGUUCAAAAUGUAAUUGAUGGCCAUGGCACAAGAGUUCUCUUAAUAUUACUGGCAUUCAUGGAAAUGAGCGUCUUCAAAGUUAAUCAAAGGGAAUUCAGGAAGUUUUCUUAUCCUUUCCCUUAAAUGUUAGACCUCUUAUGUAUUUUUACUUUCUCAUUGUUGAAAUCCUAGAAUCAUAUAAAUUAUUAUACCUUGUGCAUCAUUUCAUUCUUCCUAUUAUAUCUUGUGCAUUAUUUCAAUCUUCCCAUUAUUUCUCGUACAUUAUUUUAAUCUUCUUAUUAUACCCUAAACAUAACUUAUUGCUUGGAAUAUGUGUUAUUUUCUUAUUAAU
rnacentral:misc_RNA from 1 species